CACCUCUAUUUUCUCCUCAUAUAGAAUAAAUCAUUCACCUUUUGGUAAAGUUUUCCAUGGAGAGGAAAUCUCCAAGUUUUAGGUUAAUUUUUUGUAGCUCUGCUUUUAUGGAGAGCA